rnacentral:rRNA from 1 species
UACGUAGGGUGCAGGCGUUAAUCGGAAUUACUGGGCGUAAAGCGUGCGCAGGCGGUCUGCUAAGAGAGAUGUGAAAUCCCCGGGCUUAACCUGGGAACUGCGUUUCUAACUGGCAGGCUAGAGUGUGGCAGAGGGGGGGUGGAAUUCCACGUGUAGCAGUGAAAUGCGUAGAGAUGGUGGAGGAACACCGAUGGCGAAGGCAGCCCCCUGGGCUAACACUGACGCCUCAUGCACGAAAGCGUGGGGAGCAAACAGG